GAGCCUGCCCCCACCGGAGCCUGCCCCCACCGGAGCGUUCCCGCCUGCCCCGCGGCAGCGGGAGAGAGUGAAAAUGCCAGAAAUAAAGGAGAGGAGCUACUUUGAAGAAUUUCCAGUGAUUUUACAGAUUGAUCUUCAAAUUUGUAGAAAUCUGCCCCGGGAAGGGGCCGCUGGUGAAGCUGGGGGCUCAUCCGCUCAGCCGGUGUCGCAAGGAGCAGCCGAAGCUGGAACCAGUUCCCGAAGCGUUCAUGGUCUGGUGGCUCACCAGGACGUUGGUUUGAGACAUCAGACUCUAACCAAUGCAUUUUGGGAGACGCGCGCACGGCCGCAUGGACCAUCUCGAGUAGCGUCUGUCUGUGGGGACGGAGCCGGUCCGUCUGCCCCGUCGUGUCGACGGUCCCACAUGCUGGAGAGGAUGCAGUACAUCUGCAUUCCCGAGCACGGUGGGUUUUGCCCAUGGACCUUUAUCAUCUCCUGGCUGCAUGGACCGUUGCUGGUUCGGGGAUGAAGUGUGAAGAGCAGAAACUCUCUGUGCGCAGCCCGAGUGUCGGGAGAUGCUGCUUCUGCUCCGCUCCUGCCCCAGCCCGACAUCCUGUGCGACUUUCAAGCAAAUCACUCGGUCUCUUUGCAUCUCCGUACCCAGCCAUCCUCGUCGGGGGUAAUCACAGCUUCCUUGCUCGUAGGGUGCUGGUAGGGGAACUUCAAGCUUCGGCGGCGGAUUUGCAUGUCGAAGCGGAGCCCUGCGUGCUGUGCUGUGCUGCGCGAGGGGAAGCAGCUUGGGGGAAAGGUAUGAACUGGAAAAAUAAGUGGUGCCUCGAAAAAGCUGCCGCAGGAGGGGGCAAGCUGAGGAGGCGAGGUCCUGGGACGGAACUGCACGAAACCGCAGGAGCUGCCGUGCAGACCGUCUCUGUGCCCUCAUCUCUGACACCCUGGCCCUCGCUUUUAUUUAAAAGCAUGUCUGGGUGCUCCACCCUGUUAAGUGGUGUAUCUGGGAAAUAAUCAGCCAGAGGCUGGAGCUUGUCCCCCUGCCAGAGCCAUCUCUCGGGUCUUCAGCGGCGCAGAACUCCCCGUCUUGGUUCAUAUUUCUCAUUAUACACAACUUGCUUGAGUUUCAUUGCUUAGGUAGCCACAAACUCCAGAGCUUCAUACCUCCCCGCUCUGUUUCUAGCCAGCAGCAAGCCCUGCAUCAGUCACGUCGUGAUGCUCCAAGCCAUCGCAUAGGACGAGGCGGUGGAAAGCCUGCGAGUCCCAGCGCGGUCAGACACCUCCAACGGGUUCUUAUUACAAGCUGGACGAUGUGCGAGCGCUUGAUACAUGGUUUAUAGCCAGAAGAGGCAUGGGAUGAAGCCAAGGCUGGGAAGCCUCUCCCCUUGGAAGGAGGGAUGCGGAUUCUCAUGGAGCAGCAGUUGAUGGUCUGCACACCCAGCAGCUCUGGCCGGCGGCUGGGCGAUGGCCGUGGGAAAGCUCUCGCCGUCCGGCAGCUGUGGGGUGUCUGACGUGACAAGGGGACACCGCAGGGAAACGUGGAAGAAGGACGGUCGAGUUAGUCCUGAGUCCGAAUUCAGGUUCACAGCCAUGCGCUUUGUAACCGGUAAAGAUUAAGAUCUUAAUUUUGGCGUUUCUUCAUACCUGCAGCCAGAACACGGCCUGUGCCUGCUCUGUGUAAGAGCCUUGGGAGCGCUGGCGUGCCGGGUGUGUAUUUUUAGGUCAUUUCCAGAGAAGUGGAUUCAUUUCGACGGAACCAGCCGACCGCCUCGGCACUCAGCCGUGUUGUGAUGGAGAUGAAGGACAGUUUCCACCUUACAUCGUCUUGCUGUCGGAGGUUUUGACCUUGCUCACACGUCUGUUACUGCCUGAUUUAUCUUCACUGACGUUCAGACUCUGGCCCUUCCAAGAUCGUUAUCAGACCGUCUCUGGAUUUCAGUGGCCAAACUCUCAAAAGCUGUGGCCCCCAGCAAGGGCCUCGUCUGCCUAACACAAAAUAAAGACCAACCUCUGCCAAACUAAUUCAUCCCACUUUAAUCCCUCUCUUCAGAAGGUCUCUUUGCCUUCCUGGAACCGCCUGGUUCGUUAGAAAUUGGGCUUUUGAAUGUAUUAGAAAUGUAGACCUCAUAUUCCCACAGGCACGUGGGGACGUGGCGGAAUGAAUGUGCAUAUUGUAUCUUAAUAAUCUAGUCUUCUGGGGUUGUCAGACUUUUUGAAAGAGGUUUGAAACGGGGACCAGUUUUAUCUCACACGAGGCAUUGGGUCCUCACUUAACUAAUGGUGCAACUCCAUAUAGAUUUCUCAACCUAAAAUAUAGUACUAUGCACUAAUCAGAUAUUAUUUAGAAAGUAUUUGGUAAGUAACACCUGCUGCACUGAAAAUUAAAUUAAGGGUGUUAAAUAGGAGUUUAAAGAAAACAAGUUUUAGGGAAAAAAUCUUUGAAGAUACCUAUUUUAGUUCAGAUUUCAAAUUUAAAUUUCCUAAAAGAUGUUGGCAGGGUUAAUUUUUCCUUUGUACAUGUAACAUAUUUGUUCAUCUAUGCCAUUAUACAGCUCCUUUCAAGCUGAGUAUUAUACUGGAAUACAGCAAAAGCCAAAUUUAAGAUAUGAAACUGGAGGAGACCGUAUUUCAUACUGCAUAAAAUGCACCUCUGGAAUUUUCAGUUCUUCUUUUCUGCAGUAUUACAAAUGCCUUUAUAAAGUAUCAUGGCUGAUGAGCUAAAAAAGAGGAAAAAAAGAAAAGAAAAGAAAAAAAACAAACAAAAAACCCUGUGGCUUUGGAUAUAUUCACUUCAAGUUUGUGGUUAAUAUUUCCCAGGCUGCUUAGAGGUGAGCCUAAGUUCAGUCAUCACACUGCUGCUUCACCAGUCUCUGCCGGUGUUUCUAAAUGACUCUGAUAAAAGAUUGCGAAAAAUGGA